rnacentral:rRNA from 1 species
GUGGGGAAUAUUUGACAAUGGGCGAAAGCCUGAUCCAGCCAUGCCGCGUGUGUGAAGAAGGUCUUCGGAUUGUAAAGCACUUUAAGUUGGGAGGAAGGGCAGUAAGUUAAUACCUUGCUGUUUUGACGUUACCGACAGAAUAAGCACCGGCUAACUUCGUGCCAGCAGCCGCGGUAAUACGAAGGGUGCAAGCGUUAAUCGGAAUUACUGGGCGUAAAGCGCGCGUAGGUGGUUUUGUAAGUUGGAGGUGAAAUCCCCGGGCUCAACCUGGGAACUGCAUCCAAAACUGGCGAGCUAGAGUACGGUAGAGGGUGGUGGAAUUUCCUGUGUAGCGGUGAAAUGCGUAGAUAUAGGAAGGAACACCAGUGGCGAAGGCGACCACCUGGACUGAUACUGACACUGAGGUGCGAAAGCGUGGGGAGCAAACAGGAUUAGAAACCCGGGUAGUCC